rnacentral:rRNA from 1 species
AUUGAACGCUGGCGGCAUGCCUUACACAUGCAAGUCGAACGGUAACAGGUCUUCGGAUGCUGACGAGUGGCGAACGGGUGAGUAAUACAUCGGAACGUGCCUAGUAGUGGGGGAUAACUACUCGAAAGAGUGGCUAAUACCGCAUGAGAUCUACGGAUGAAAGCAGGGGAUCGCAAGACCUUGUGCUACUAGAGCGGCCGAUGGCAGAUUAGGUAGUUGGUGGGAUAAAAGCUUACCAAGCCGACGAUCUGUAGCUGGUCUGAGAGGACGAUCAGCCACACUGGGACUGAGACACAGCCCAGACUCCUACGGGAGGCAGCAGUGGGGAAUUUUGGACAAUGGGCGCAAGCCUGAUCCUGCAAUGCCGCGUGCAGGAUGAAGGCCUUCGGGUUGUAAACUGCUUUUGUACGGAACGAAAAGCCCUGGGUUAAUACCCUGGGGUCAUGACGGUACCGUAAGAAUAAGCACCGGCUAACUACGUGCCAGCCGCCGCCGUAA